rnacentral:misc_RNA from 1 species
AAGUCGUAACAAGGUUUCCGUAGGUGAACCUGCGGAAGGAUCAUUAUUGAAUAAGCUUGGUAAGGUUGUUGCUGGCUCUAUCGGGGGGGCAUGUGCACGCCUAACACCAGUCUUUUUUCACCCUUUACCCCCUGUGCACUUUUUGUAGGCCUGGAUCGAGGAACCUUGGUUUCAGUUCUAGCCUAUGUCACUUUGUAUUCACUCCGUAUGUCUAGAAUGUUGUUGUUAUUUGAUGCGAUUCAUCAUCGCUCUGGACAUCUUAAUACAACUUUCAACAAUGGAUCUCUUGGCUCUC